rnacentral:tRNA from 1 species
GCCGCCGGCGGCCGCGAAAGCGGUAGUGGUGCGAAGGGUGGGGUCGAGUGUUCAAUUCACUCCGGCGGCACCA